rnacentral:rRNA from 1 species
UCUGGGAAAGCUUUCGCGGUAUGGGAUGGGGUCGCGUCCUAUCAGCUUGACGGCGGGGUAACGGCCCACCGUGGCUUCGACGGGUAGCCGGCCUGAGAGGGCGACCGGCCACAUUGGGACUGAGAUACGGCCCAGACUCCUACGGGAGGCAGCAGUGGGGAAUAUUGCACAAUGGGCGCAAGCCUGAUGCAGCGACGCCGCGUGAGGGAUGGAGGCCUUCGGGUUGUAAACCUCUUUUAUCGGGGAGCAAGCGAGAGUGAGUUUACCCGUUGAAUAAGCACCGGCUAACUACGUGCCAGCAGCCGCGGUAAUACGUAGGGUGCAAGCGUUAUCCGGAAUUAUUGGGCGUAAAGGGCUCGUAGGCGGUUCGUCGCGUCCGGUGUGAAAGUCCAUCGCUUAACGGUGGAUCCGCGCCGGGUACGGGCGGGCUUGAGUGCGGUAGGGGAGACUGGAAUUCCCGGUGUAACGGUGGAAUGUGUAGAUAUCGGGAAGAACACCA